AGACACUUGAUGAGCCUGAAGAAUUUCAAAUGGUGGGACGCGCAGAGUUCGAGGACGUACGCUACUUAGAGAUUUAUACGACUUAGAUCCUGUCGAGCGUGUUAAAGUAAGUAGAAAUACUCAUGGUCAGCCUGUUGGAUCUGAAGCUUGACUUUUAGAAGGCUAUUUGGGCAUUUUAGCACGAAAUGCAAAUAUGUUGCCCAUCAACUACGAAUCAUGGCAUCACAUGCCUGAUAGCAACAAAAACCAGGCUCUCGCUAAUAUUAAGGAGAGAUUUGCUUUAGAAGUCUCCGAUGAUUAUAUCAAGAAGGCAUUAGGUAAAAGAUGGAGAGACAAUAAAAGCACUUUAAAGAAACAAUAUUUUAAGAAAGACAUAAGCCUCGAGGAA